CCUACGGGAGGCAGCAGUGAGGAAUAUUGGUCAAUGGGCGAGAGCCUGAACCAGCCAAGUCGCGUGAGGGAGUACUGCCCUAUGGGUUGUAAACCUCUUUUGUCGGGGAGCAAAAGCCGGACGUGUCCGGCUGUGAGAGUACCCGAAGAAAAAGCAUCGGCUAACUCCGUGCCAGCAGCCGCGGUAAUACGGAGGAUGCGGGCGUUAUCCGGAUUUAUUGGGUUUAAAGGGGGCGCAGGCGGAUUUUUAAGUCAGCGGUAAAAUCGUGGGGCUCAACCCCAUCCAGCCGUUGAAACUGGGGAUCUAGAGUGUGCGAGAGGUAUGCGGAAUGCGUGGUGUAGCGGUGAAAUGCAUAGAUAUCACGCAGAACCCCGAUUGCGAAGGCAGCAUACCGGUGCACAACUGACGCUCAGGCACGAAAGCGUGGGUAUCGAACAGGAUUAGAUACCCGAGUAGUC
rnacentral:rRNA from 1 species